GGGUGGAAUAUCAAUUGAUACGCUGUGUCAUCUUCUCUAUCACAAUUCACAAUCCCCUGCAGAUAUUUCCUAUUUCAGUUCCCGCGCCCCGUCCCCCACACGCAGUCACACAGAAUGGCAGCGGCAGUGAAUUGCUACCUCUCAGUGACUUCAACAGCCACACCCACAUCUCAAGAUUCUCCACAGCCAGCAAUCACGAGGCCGCCGACCAAGAUCAUACUGCCCAAGAAAAAGCCUAUGAAAUGGUCUACAGGGGUGGCUCCGGGUGAGUAUGGGGGCCCACCCACCACAACGAAGCUCAGGAAAUACUGGGGUGGAGAUGAGGACCCUCUUGCCUCUGAUGAAUACUUGUGGAACAAAGACUUCAUGGGUCGAAUGAAAAAGUUCAUUCAAGACCCCGUCGAUGUCGACACUAAUUCUGACCCUCGAUUCUCAUCUGCGAAGGUCCAGUAUUUGGCCAAUUGAUUAUUUUUGGUUUGUCAUUAUCUGGGUUUUUUUGAGUGAUUUAUAUUGUGGGUUUUAUUUUUGCUGUUGCUUUUGUAUGAGAAAUUAGUAAAAAUGGGGAAUUUUUAGCGCUCAUUGAGAUUAAUUGUUUUGGAAUUUGGAACUUGGAUAAUACUGCUUGUUGAACAUUGUAUAGGGAUGUCUAGUGUCAUUUUUUUCCCCUUCUUUUCAGAGAGAAUUUCUAGAAUGUUCUGCUUGUCUAAUUAAUUGACUGUUCUACGAAGUACUGCUGAUCUAAUUUUUUGGUUUCAUUCCGAAACUGUUUGUUCUGAUUUUACCACAGAUUGAAUUUUUAUUGCUUUUAGUUGAUAAAUAUAUUGUCCAGGUAUCAGCACUGAAUUUGGUAAAUUAUACUGUUUUGGUAUGUUUCUGAACAGGAAGAGCCUUGUGGAUUUCUUAGCUUGAACAGAGUGAUGAGCUUGGACAGGUACACAACCUUUUAUUUUUGGAAAUUGUUAUUUUAUUUUGUCUUGAAUUCCUAUACUGCUUUCCCGUGUAAUAGUCCCACUCUUUGAGGAUGCAGUUUGGAAAUUGACUUGAGCAAAGAGUUAACAGCGACUUCAAGAUCUGCGGUUGAACCACGAGUUGAAGAAAUUCAAGUGUGACAGAUUUUAAGUUCCCUUUGAAAAAAUGGUCUGUAAAACUAGUUUGCAUUUGUUAUUUUCCAUACUCAUCAGGAUUGAAAUGAUUUGUAGAGUAAUAGCAUUGCUUCUCGAAAAUGGAGACCAGCCCCAACACGACGUGAGCUAGAGAAGUGGGACAGAGCUACUAAAGCUGCAACUGGAGGCAGUGUGUGUAGUUUCAUUUUGGACAUGCAAUUUUCUUCUCAUCUUAUAUGCUUAAACUUCUGUUUGCUUAAAACAAAUUGCUGAUUUUCGAGCUGAAUAUAUAUAUAUAUAUAUAUAUAUAUAUAUAUAUAUAUAUAUAUAUAUAUAUAUAUAUAUAUAUAUAUAUAUAUAUAUAUAUUGUAUUUUUUAAGAAUCCUUUUACGUUAAUCCAAGUUUUCUUGUUCUGCAGGAAGUGAUGUUUAGGGAAUCAAAGCGUCCCAGAGGGGACCCAGAAGUGUUGGCUGCUCAGUCAAGGGAACAGUACUAUAAGGUUUUUUGAAGAAAAUAUUAGCUUCUACAUCCUUAAGAUCUUUAGUUGGAAGUUCCAAUCUCUCCUUUUAAUGUUUUUGCAGUUGAAGAAUAAAUUGCAGUUCCUCACACUGGGCAUUGGUGGUGUUGGUGUAAUCUCAGCCUAUUGUUCUUAUUCUCCUGAAAUUGCAGCAAGGUAAGCACCUUGCUAGGAUGCGUUUCAGAAUUUUUGUAUGACUACUACUUCAACCUUGUGAAAUUAAUCUGCAUUAUAUUGAUGAUUUGUGAAUGAGAUGGGACGUUUGACAUCUGUGAAACUACUACCUUUUGCAUUAACCAUCCUUUGCAAAUGACUUGUUAUUUGAAACCUCAGUUCUUUUUGUUUUUUUAGUUAUUAUUAUUAUUAUUAUUUUUUAUUUAUAUUUUUUGUGGAUUGGGCUUCUGUUUACAUUUCUGAUUGAUCACAUAAUCAGGUGCAGACAAAUCCUUCUUAUGUUGACACUUACUCGCUGGAUCAUUUUCCGUAUAGCAGUAGUUCAUAAAGAUAUUCUGUCUGCCAGUAUGUAAUCAUAAUUCUUUUCUGUUCAGCUAUGGUGCUGGAUUGCUCGGUUCUUUGGCAUACAUGCGAAUGCUUGGAAAAACCAUUGAUUCUAUGGCAGAUGGAGCAAAAGGACUUGUCAAGUAUGUCUUUUUUUACUCCUUAAUGGGUUUCAAAAUCUUGAGAUAAUGGAUCUUAUAUGUACAUACUAUAAUGUUAAUUUAGUUGCCUCUGGUUUCAUGUAGAAUUUCUUAUUUAUAAAAUUUCUCUUUGAUGAAGUGUAGUUCUCUGUGACUGAAAAAAUGCAUAUUUAAUUGAUGAAAUUUAGUUUAAUUGCUGAGCAGAACUAAAUUAAUAUUUCCUGUCAAAAUUAAAUUUAUUGCAUACCUAAAUGAUGAAAUAUAGUUUGCUGUGUACCUAGAACCCCUUGUACGUCUGGACAUCUCUGGAAUGACAACUGGUAUAUGUGAUGCUUUUCUGGCUAUUGGUGAAGUUUUCGAAAUUGCAAAUUAUAAUAUCAGGUUUUUGAAGUAUGCUUGCUUCCGCUUUUCAGUGUAACCGGACACUUAUUUCGUAGACAACAAAUGAGUUUUUUCCUGCUUAUUUCAUCUCUCUCUCCCUCUCUCUCUCUCUCGCGAUUACCAAUCAAUUGAAUAGCAUACCAACUGUAACAAGUUUGGUUGGAGAAAAUAAAUCUUGUGAUGAGCUUUAGAAGUACUUAAAUGCCAAAUAUAAACCAGGCCUGUCUUGGUGAAAGGCCAAUUGGUUCUGACAUUCAAAUAUGAUCUGCAUUUUACCUUCUGCAUCUUGAUCCUGACAAAUUUUAUCAAGGUAGAUCUUAUGGACGUAGUCAUGUGAUGUCCUACACUGAACAAUUGUAAUUUUGCAUCAUCAAGGAUGGCCUUGUUACUGCUUGAUGUCAACAUUGAAUUAAUUUUAUUAAGCGUCUAACCAUGACUGCUGCGGAACUACUUUAUGGCCAAAAUUCAAUUAGUGGUGUAACUGGACAUGAUCCUGUUGCUUUUUGCUGAGAUUGACAUUUGUGAGGCAAAAUAUUGAACUAUUUCUUAUAUUGUAGUUAUGAUUUUUUUCCCAUGGUUUUCCCUUUUCCCAAGUACAAGUUCUCAUGCAGUUUGAAAAAUAAGGCAAACUACAGGUCCAUGGAGAAAUUUUAUGGAAAUGUUUACAAUUACAAAGGCAGCAAGAAACUAAGCUUCUUUUACAUUGAGUUUUAGGUCCGUCACAUGAAUCCUUCGAACUUAAGGAUGUCCCACAUGUUUUUGGGUUUAUUAAGUUUGUGCUAUGAAGUUGAGUCAUUUCAUUGUGGACAUUCUAUAUUUGGAAGAUCGAAGAUGACCUAUUAGGAUCCUCCUGGUUUGCUCAUCAGAACAUUUUACUCGCAGGGGAGCUAUUGGGCAGCCAAGGCUACUGGUUCCUGUCGUCUUGGUCAUGUUAUAUAACCGGUGGAAUGGGUAAGAACUUGAGAAAAUGCAUAUGUUCAUUCAAAUAUAUCCUUAUCAUUUUGAAUCAGUUCUUGGAUUAUAGUUUGGUAUCUCAUUCGGUGAUUUGUAAGCAGUAUUUUGGUUCCGGAUUAUGGAUUCAUGCACCUCGAGUUGAUACCAAUGCUGGUGGGAUUCUUUACGUACAAAUUUGCCACUUUUUUCCAGGCUAUUGAGGAGGCAAUAACUGUGGCUAGUGGAAAAACACAAGCUUAAAUUUGGCUUAUUUAAUUCUAUAUACAUUUCAUUUAGUUAUUACUGAUGGUGGAAAAACUCAGAUAUAUGUAUAUGUGAUGUUUUAUUCAUUUUAUUUUCCUUCAGUAAAAAUAAAUAAACAAAUAAAAAUAAAAAUAAAUAUAAAAAUUUGCUUUUCUUGGUAGCAACUAGAUGUGUGUAGUUUUAAAGAUAUUGACAUAACUUCAUGCUGAACAACUCCAAUCUUUCUCAAGUGACAUAAAGUCAUUUCUCCAAGUUUUAAUUUUAGUUUCUGCCAUUCCAUGUCUCCACCCUUUUGUGCACACGGUGUCUCAACUCAACAGAAAACAUUUAGCACUUGUUUGACUCAUUAAAAUUUUAAUACGUUUUUUUCUCUACUUUUUAACUACAUAUUUUUAAUAAAAUAA
rnacentral:lncRNA from 1 species